AAUAUUUCAAUGUCUAAGCAAUUUCUUGUUAUUAAUUGAGACCAAGCAAUUAUCUGCCUUUCAGCUGUGUAACAUAAAAUACCAGAGUCAAGGCCAAUGACCCAUGGAAAUUGUCCAAAGAUACAACCACAGGGCCCGGAAGAUAUCUCUACAUCUUGGCCUUCUGAGGCAAAGGGCGUUUCGAGAGAAGCCCUCUUCUCAGAGUCACCACAGUCCAGACAUGCUCUCCGUGGUACUAGACACAGAGUGAGUCAACCCAGGGCAGCUUUAAAAUCCAAAACUGGAUUCAAGCGGACUGCAGCUUACUUGGUAAGAAACUUGGGAGCCACCACUGAGAUAUUAAGAAAGCCUGUCUCUAGGUUAGAGAUUUGGUCUUUCCAGCCCUUUGGGGGUGUUUCAAACAACAGGAGCUUGGAAAACCUCUAAGGAAGAUUAUUCCUAGGACAGAGCAAAUAUAAAACACUUCCAGCAUCACAAACAAUGCUGUAAAAAUUUAAGGUGUCAGCUUUUAAAAAUUUCCUUUUCAAAACUGAUCUGCAAUGAUUUUUUCUGUCAAUUCCCGAGAAGUGGGCAAUCUAAUAUCAUCUUUGGAGCUAUGGUUUUAAUGGCUAAUCACGUUUGUUUAGUCAAAUUGGAAAACCAAAUAACUUUGAAAGAGUCUGUCUUCCCUGGAAUGUGCUAAUUUCUAGUUACUCAGGGCUAUGUGUAAGAAUUUAAACUAAAACCUGCUCUUCACAUUAACAGACAAAAAGGGCUUUGUCUGUCUAUCUAAAAUGACUUCCUACGCAGGAACCUGAGUGAUAGCAAGAUGUUACAACAGUUGAGUCAUUCUUUAAAAAUCAGCUCUUCCAUUAUGUCACAUCUCUGAUGAAAUAUCACCUUCUGAGAAAGCUUUCCUUAGCAUCCUACCAACUCUGGUCCGUCAUUCUGUCUGCUUAUUUAUUAGCGGUUUGUUGAUUUGUUGUCAAUCUCCCUAUUCUCUGUGAUCUCUAAAAAGGAUGUAAUCUUUUUUUCACUGACAUAGCUAUCAUGCCUAGAACAGUAACCCUGUUUUGUUUUUUUGUACAUGUUCAGUAAAUAAUUAUAGGAUGAGUUUAUGAAUGGAAUCUCCUGAAAAUGAAUAUAGAAUUUUGUACAUGAGCAUUUCUAUGGAGAGAAGAAUGUAUAACUGAGAUCUUAUUCUGUACGAAUUAGGUCUGUGGUCUAAAAAGACUAAAAACCUCAGUUACACAUGUGUAAUUCCAUUUCAUUAUCAGUAACAUUAUUAUCAGCAAUAGCCAUAAAUAAAUUCUGCAGCUGACCAAAUGCUCACUUUAUUAGAAUUCUACAAAAUAAACAAAGAUAAACUGAGGAAGCAAUGAUAUAGAAUGUUUAUAUUUUAAAAGCUUGUCACUG
ensembl:lncRNA